rnacentral:pre_miRNA from 12 species
GAUCUUGGGACGCAUUUUGUGCAGUUAUGCACCAAAAAUAUAUCCAUCACUGGGCAAAGUGUGUCUCAGGAU